AACGCGAAGAACCUUACCAAGUCUUGACAUCCUUCUGACCGGUACUUAACCGUACCUUCUCUUCGGAGCAGGAGUGACAGGUGCUGCAUGGCUGUCGUCAGCUCGUGUCGUGAGAUGUUGGGUUAAGUCCCGCAACGAGCGCAACCCUUAUCUUUAGUAGCCAGCAGUAAGAUGGGCACUCUAGAGAGACUGCCGGGAUAACCCGGAGGAAGGUGGGGAUGACGUCAAAUCAUCAUGCCCCUUAUGACCAGGGCUACACACGUGCUACAAUGGCGUAAACAAAGGGAAGCAAAGCUGUGAAGCCGAGCAAAUCUCAAAAAUAACGUCUCAGUUCGGACUGUAGUCUGCAACCCGACUACACGAAGCUGGAAUCGCUAGUAAUCGCAGAUCAGAAUGCUGCGGUGAAUACGUUCCCGGGUCUUGUACACACCG
rnacentral:rRNA from 1 species